rnacentral:rRNA from 1 species
ACGAACGCUGGCGGCGUGCCUAAUACAUGCAAGUAGAACGCUGAAGAGAGGAGCUUGCUCUUCUUGGAUGAGUUGCGAACGGGUGAGUAACGCGUAGGUAACCUGCCUUGUAGCGGGGGAUAACUAUUGGAAACGAUAGCUAAUACCGCAUAACAAUGGAUGACACUUGUCAUUUAUUUGAAAGGGGCAAUUGCUCCACUACAAGAUGGACCUGCGUUGUAUUAGCUAGUAGGUGAGGUAACGGCUCACCUAGGCGACGAUACAUAGCCGACCUGAGAGGGUGAUCGGCCACACUGGGACUGAGACACGGCCCAGACUCCUACGGGAGGCAGCAGUAGGGAAUCUUCGGCAAUGGGGGCAACCCUGACCGAGCAACGCCGCGUGAGUGAAGAAGGUUUUCGGAUCGUAAAGCUCUGUUGUAAGUCAAGAACGAGUGUGAGAGUGGAAAGUUCACACUGUGACGGUAGCUUACCAGAAAGGGACGGCUAACUACGUGCCAGCAGCCGCGGUAAUACGUAGGUCCCGAGCGUUGUCCGGAUUUAUUGGGCGUAAAGCGAGCGCAGGCGGUUUGAUAAGUCUGAAGUUAAAGGCUGUGGCUCAACCAUAGUUCGCUUUGGAAACUGUCAAACUUGAGUGCAGAAGGGGAGAGUGGAAUUCCAUGUGUAGCGGUGAAAUGCGUAGAUAUAUGGAGGAACACCGGUGGCGAAAGCGGCUCUCUGGUCUGUAACUGACGCUGAGGCUCGAAAGCGUGGGGAGCGAACAGGAUUAGAUACCCUGGUAGUCCACGCCGUAAACGAUGAGUGCUAGGUGUUGGAUCCUUUCCGGGAUUCAGUGCCGCAGCUAACGCAUUAAGCACUCCGCCUGGGGAGUACGACCGCAAGGUUGAAACUCAAAGGAAUUGACGGGGGCCCGCACAAGCGGUGGAGCAUGUGGUUUAAUUCGAAGCAACGCGAAGAACCUUACCAGGUCUUGACAUCCCGAUGCUAUUUCUAGAGAUAGAAAGUUACUUCGGUACAUCGGUGACAGGUGGUGCAUGGUUGUCGUCAGCUCGUGUCGUGAGAUGUUGGGUUAAGUCCCGCAACGAGCGCAACCCCUAUUGUUAGUUGCCAUCAUUCAGUUGGGCACUCUAGCGAGACUGCCGGUAAUAAACCGGAGGAAGGUGGGGAUGACGUCAAAUCAUCAUGCCCCUUAUGACCUGGGCUACACACGUGCUACAAUGGUUGGUACAACGAGUUGCGAGUCGGUGACGGCAAGCUAAUCUCUUAAAGCCAAUCUCAGUUCGGAUUGUAGGCUGCAACUCGCCUACAUGAAGUCGGAAUCGCUAGUAAUCGCGGAUCAGCACGCCGCGGUGAAUACGUUCCCGGGCCUUGUACACACCGCCCGUCACACCACGAGAGUUUGUAACACCCGAAGUCGGUGAGGUAACCUUUUGGAGCCAGCCGCCUAAGGUGGGAUAGAUGAUUGGGGUG